AGACAAAGCUGGAAAAAGACAAACCCAGAUGCUGCGUGGAGGAAAAAAAAAAAGAAAAAAAGAAAAAAAAAAGAGGAAACCAGAUGAAUGGUGAUGAAUGAAUUUUGAGAGAAAAAUCAGGGAGAAGGAAAGCGAUGUGUUGACAGCGUGGAGAAAUUGAAUUAGCAGCUGCAGCGCUGGGAACAUUGGAUCACAUUAGGAGCGCAGCAGAGGAGCAGAGGCUACCUGCAGGCCGGAGGGAGAGGCUCUUUACUCCUCUGCUUUGAGCUCUCACACAGCCCGACAGCUACAUCACAAAUCCUUCAACGUAACACCAGGACAUCCUCAAAAAAAAAACUAAAAUAAAAUAAAUAAAUACUCAGAACCUGUCAUAAGUCAAAACCAGGAAAAAGCGUCGAAUCCAACAGAUGGUCUUAUUUCGAUCACUGUUAAAAGGCCAGUGUAGUCAGGCUCACAGCUGUGCUUUCUUACAUUUCGAUAACGCGAGAUUUACUUGGAUUUUAAUAAGAUUUAAAUUAUGGAGCGAUUAAAGAGGCUUGAAAAAUCGACGAUGGGUUUUCAUUGUUCAAAAAAUACCACAAAAUAAUAAAAUGAGCCCACGUGUGUUUUUAUGCUGUCAUAUAACGCGGCUGUUGGUCGAUACCUGAGUCGAAGUCCGACCUCAUCGUAAUGCAAACAGCCGCUCCCUCCUUAACGCAGUCAGCUGUCAUUUGGAAGAAUCAACGUGGGCUAAUUGAAAUGACGGUGAGCCUAAACCGAGCCCAGCCGAGUUUACCUCCUCCGCUCCCUCCUGUGUUACAGGAUAAAUAUGGAGGACGAAACUGAAGCUGAUCCAGAAAAAUCCUCCUCCUCAUGUUCCUGACUCACAUCUAAUCUCCAUCCAAGCUGACAGCGGCGCACUGAGCUCAGGUCAGUGAACACAUCUCGGCCUUUGUCUUGGACACCUUACACCGUUAGCGGACCUGUACAGGUGCCCACAGCAGGUGGACAAAAAAAAACAGGUGAAAGUUUCAUUUCAGCGUUUCAUUUUAUCUGCUAAGAUGGUGACAAAGUCUGAAAAUUGAGCGGAUUUGAAGUUUUAGGUUGUUGUACAUUUUAACAGUAAUUCAGAGAUGAAACUUGCAGUCAUAAUUUGAGCCAUCUGCAGUCUAAUGAGAGAUUUCUGACCUUGUGUCAGUAAGAAAGUGUUCUGCAGCAGCUGAUCAACACCUUUAACUGGAGAAAAUCACCUGCUGCAGGACCUUAACAUUAACAUGUUGUUAUUCUACAUGAUGUAAUUCUCACCGCAAUCUCAGGUUCCCCUGAAGUGAGAAUGUGUGAUUACUGUAACCUUCUCACAGUCCUCUGUUGGCUAAAUCUGAUCAUCGGAGCCCAGGCCAUGCAGACCAAAGUGCAGAGCCACAGGGAAGGCUGUGGUGGUGUCUCAGAGGCUUUGAUGGUAAAACAUGCAGGGAGCGUCCAAGGUAGGUCUCACUCAAGUCAAUGCUGAGCUUCAGAGAAAAUAAACAAAGAGUCUGGUAUGCACUUUAGCCGUAAAGCAAGGAGUCCCUGCAUUCUAACUGGCUACUCUUUUCCAUGUUCUUACUUCAGCUGCUUAUCUGUUGCGGUUUUGGUUUUGGAAAUUUUUGCAACCAACAUUACUAAUUUUGACAAGCUAAUGAUCAUAGAUUUCCAAGAAUUUCAGAGGGAUUUAAAUCACCAAUUUACUUCCUCCCCAGAAUUAGGAAACAUUCAGUAAAUAAACGUUAAUGUGCCCUACAUAAUGCAUUGUGUUGCGGCUAUCAACUUCUAAAUCAAAUGAAUCAAAAUCAAUUAAUUUCUCGCGCUCCUGUUUGUGUGUGCUCUCUCAUGAUGCUGCUGAACAACACAAUUCUUUGUUCAAGCAAAUUUCUAACGGUGAACGAGGAGAAAAGUUAUGCUGACUCACAUUUGUAAGUUAUUGUAGCUAUGAUGCAUAUGCUCGUGCAGCCAAGUGAUGUUUCACAGUCUAUCACAAUAUGUACAAUACAAUGACAAACUAUUUCCUCCACUUUCCUUCUUUCUGGAAAAAAAAUAAAGGAUAUUUUGAUGAUUUUUGGAUCGUGUAACUUCUGGUAACUGGCCUCUAGCAUGAUUUUUAUGGGUAAAGCUUCAUGGCAAAUUAAACCAUAAUUACACAUUGGAUUUAGUAAGUGGAGACAUAGGAUACAAAAGGAUGUUUUGAACUUUUAUAAAAGCAGUCUUCACAGUGGGUGCCAGCGCAGUGCUGUCACUUCUCAAAAUCAAAAGUAGCAAUUUGGUGUAGAAAAAAAGGAAGUGCCACAAGUGAAGUUCCUGCUAAUUUCCACUUGAAUGUGUUUGCCUCAGAUGUGCUGGUGUCAGCCAAAAGAAGAAGAAGAAGAAGUGGGGCUCGUGUUGUAAACGAGGGCCACUGAGAUCUCGUAGGUUGAACAAAUUUAGCAAACGGCACAAGCACACGUGUCAGCGUCGAGUGUUGGCACUUU